rnacentral:rRNA from 1 species
AUUGAACGCUGGCGGCAGGCCUAACACAUGCAAGUCGAGCGGAUGAGAGGAGCUUGCUUCUCGAUUCAGCGGCGGACGGGUGAGUAAUGCCUAGGAAUCUGCCUGGUAGUGGGGGACAACGUUUCGAAAGGAACGCUAAUACCGCAUACGUCCUACGGGAGAAAGCAGGGGACCUUCGGGCCUUGCGCUAUCAGAUGAGCCUAGGUCGGAUUAGCUAGUUGGUGAGGUAAUGGCUCACCAAGGCGACGAUCCGUAACUGGUCUGAGAGGAUGAUCAGUCACACUGGAACUGAGACACGGUCCAGACUCCUACGGGAGGCAGCAGUGGGGAAUAUUGGACAAUGGGCGAAAGCCUGAUCCAGCCCUGCCGCGUGUGUGAAGAAGGUCUUCGGAUUGUAAAGCACUUUAAGUUGGGAGGAAGGGUUGUAGAUUAAUACUCUGCAAUUUUGACGUUGCCGACAGAAUAAGCACCGGCUAACUCUGUGCCAGCAGCCGCCGUAAGAC